rnacentral:rRNA from 1 species
AGCGAACGCUGGCGGCAGGCCUAACACAUGCAAGUCGAACGGAUCCUUCGGGAUUAGUGGCGGACGGGUGAGGAACACGUGGGAACGUGCCUUUUGGUUCGGAACAACUCAGGGAAACUUGAGCUAAUACCGGAUGUGCCCUUCGGGGAAAGAUUUAUCGCCAUUAGAGCGGCCCGCGUCUGAUUAGCUAGUUGGUGGGGUAAAGGCUCACCAAGGCUACGAUCAGUAGCUGGUCUGAGAGGAUGAUCAGCCACACUGGGACUGAGACACGGCCCAGACUCCUACGGGAGGCAGCAGUGGGGAAUCUUGCGCAAUGGGCGAAAGCCUGACGCAGCCAUGCCGCGUGAAUGAUGAAGGUCUUAGGAUUGUAAAAUUCUUUCACCGGGGACGAUAAUGACGGUACCCGGAGAAGAAGCCCCGGCUAACUUCGUG